rnacentral:lncRNA from 1 species
UUGAUCAAUUGAAGGCCAAUUUCAGUCCCAAAUCAAGAUCCGAACAUAGAUUAGUGAUCCUCAUUACAAGGGGGUUAUAAUGUAUGAAAGGAUACCGGAGCGUCGAGUGGACAAGCCGGUGGUGAUUUGCGGUUGAAGGGCGUGCACUAAAGGUGAUGAUAUACCCCGGAUGGUGGGUAUGAGGCGCCAUAGGCUUACUAG